GACGAACGCUGGCGGCGUGCCUAAUACAUGCAAGUUGAGCGAUGAAGAUUGGUGCUUGCACCAAUUUGAAGAGCAGCGAACGGGUGAGUAAGGCGUGGGGAAUCUUCCUUUGAGCGGGGGACAACAUCUGGAAACGAAUGCUAAUACCGCAUAACAACUUUAAACAUAAGUUUUAAGUUUGAAAGAUGCAAUUGCAUCACUCAAGGAUGAUCCCGCGUUGUAUUAGCUAGCUGGUGAGGUAAAGGCUCACCAAGGCGAUGAUACAUAGCCGACCUGAGAGGGUGAUCGACCACAAUGGGACUGAAACACGGCCCAAGCUCCUUCGGGAAGCAGCAGGAGGGAAUCAUCGGCAAUGGACGAAAGUCUGACCGAGCAACGCCGCGGGAGGGAAGAAAGUUUUCGGAUCGUAAAACUCUGUUGGUAGAGAAGAACGUUGGUGAGAGUGGAAAGCUCAUCAAGUGACGGUAACUACCCAGAAAGGGACGGCUAACUACGUG
rnacentral:rRNA from 1 species